rnacentral:lncRNA from 1 species
GCUAAACUGCAAAACACUCUUGCUAAAACUUGCUAAAGUUGAGUUGCUAAAGUUUAGCACUUUAGCAAGUUUUUGGUUGCUAAAACUUGCUAAAAGGUGGGCUGGACAACAUAUACCCCUCAUUUAUUGCUUGUCUCCCCCUCCUGCGCACCUUUAAUAAGGGUAGAUAGGUCUUUUUACAGCUCAUUAAAUGCCUUUUAGCAAGAGUAUCCAAACAGCUUUGCUAAAGUUUAGCAACUAAAGUUUAGCAACUUUUAGCAACUAAAGUUUAGCAAGGUGGAAGAAAACAAGCCCUAAUUGUAGUUGCUAAACUUUAGCCAUGGCUGUUUGGAUCCAUGAGCUAAACAACAUUUAAUGAGGUGGAGAAAGACAUAUUUGCUCCUAAUCAUUGCUACCCCUCCCUUCUCUCCCUCCUCCUAGGCUGCUUCACUCCCGCUAGAAGUCCUAGGCGCUUGGCGCCAUCUUGCUCCUGGCACCAUUUUCUUCCUCCUAAGGCUAAACUUUAGCAAUCAUAUUUUAGCAAGGGUGUUUGGCAAAUUUAUUGCUAAAAGUUGCUAAACUUUAGCUGUUAAAGUUUAGCAAGGAUACACCCCUAAGUUUCGUUGAAACUCCAUCAACCGGUGUCGGGUUGUCGCCUUGUCGGAACCCUGUUUACUCUCCCUGGAACCUGGAUUACGUGGUCAAGGCCCUGCAUGCACGGGACGGACAGAGAGGGGCUACAAAUACUAUAUGCAUGCAUGCCAAAGUACAAGAUGUAACCUGUAAUAUUCAAUGUAUUACUCAAAUCACUCCGAUGCAACGAUGCAAAUUUAAAAAAGACACUAAUCACUACAAGAAUAUACUACUUUUUCCCAACAAUUUUUUUACAAAUGGCCAACAGUUUUUAAGUACAUUUGAAUAAUUACCUACCAUAACUGUGGGAAAUGAGUUUGUGGGGAUUACAUUGUGCGUGAUUUGAUAAAACUGUUGGGAAAGAGGCAAAUUACACUAGAAAAAAACUAUCGGUCGUCAUUCAAGGAAAAACAGUAGGAAGCAUAAAAACUGCUGGUAAUGAUUGCAUAUGAGUAUUCGGUGGAAAAAUGGUAGCUAGUAAUAAGAGUACGUACGUGCAGUCAUAGAAACAUGCAGCUGAUGUCACCGGGACGUACCUACCGCGAUCUUUGUUGGAUUUUUAGCCGGCGUGCUCGGAUGCAGUAUAGUCGUAGUAGGUACGGUGGCGACUGGCCGCGCGCGUCAUCAUCGACAAACACCACCAUUACCUACCUUCCUACCUCGCUCGCUCUCAUGCACCCAGUAGCUAGUUCCUUUCCUUUAAGCUGUAAGGCCAUGGUGCUUGCAAUAGAUGAGCAGAGAUCGAACACAUACGACGACUGCAUUGUCACAACUGCCACUAAUAAAACGAGAAGGAGGAAAAAAAAACACAUAUGACGACUGCAUGCGUUGUCACAACUUGGAUCUGCUAGUCUGCUACGAGAUCUUCUCUCAUCUGACAAGAACAUAGUUGCUGUUUUUUCUGUCUCGAUAAGCAAUGUCUGGCUACCAAAUCAACGCUGAUUAUUGCUUCUAGUUUUGAAUGAUUAUCUUUGCUACUCCCUCCGUCCCAAAUUACUAUUCGUUUUGACUUCCUAGAUAUACAAUAAGUCUGGAUAUAUACAUAGCAAAAGCUAUAUAUAUAGAAUAGGUCAAAACGAAUUGUAAUUUGGGACGGACCGUAGAGCUGCUUGGUAGACAUCCAACAAAGCAACUUUAAUUUGCCGGGUAUGUACGUGAAAGCACACAUCCUAGAGCAGCUUUUGAGUCACAUGCUGACGAUUUAGCAAAAAAAUAAAUCUGUUGGUCAGUACUGGAUAAGGAAUGAGUUGAAAUGGUCUUUGGCUAGAUUUGCCAAGCUGAUCAUCUAGACUAUAUUAGGUAUCUAUGUAAUUAAGCACGAGGUAGUAUAGCUGGGUGGGGGGGGGGGGGGGGGGUGUUGGUAGGCCUUCUAGAACACCCAACAAUGUUGUCUCGAUCAGGGCCAGGGGGACCACGCAUGCAACCGUGCAAGUGCCAUGCAUUAUUCCCUGUUAGUUAGGUCGGUCUUGGUAUGCUUUCGCGUUAGGUACGUGAUCGAUCGAUGUACGUGUAUGAAUGUUGGGCACUUGUUGUACGUUUGGCCUUGAAUAGAAUUUUGAAUGGUAACCUAUUGCAAAGAGUGUUUGUAUAUAGGCGCUACACUGACAAGUGCGCUAGCACACUGAUGUGAUGGUCAGGUAGAAUUCCUCCUUGCAAAUGCCAGGCACGUGUACUCCAUCGAUAUGCCAUAGCUUCGUUCGUUGUCCAGAGAUGUUAAAUUAAAGCCUUCUAAUUGACGAAAUGCAUGCUAGCUGGCGCUGUCCGGAAAAUUAAACGGUACUAGUAUUCAGUUGAGUCGUCAAAGCUUCCAAACUAGCUAGCUAGUACUGUUCUACACGUACACCCGGAUCACGUAAGUGAGAAAUAAAGUAACAUGUUCUGAAUGGAAGAUCAUCCUACUGAAUAUGUCGUCGUCGACACUUGUAUAUGCACAAUAAUCUUGACUGCAACAGGCCAUGCAUGCAGAAUGCCCUCAUUCAGUCUAGGGUAGUGCAAUGCAGUAACAACUACUGAAUAAUGGUCCAUGCUGUUUUGUUUGCUUGUACAGUGUGGCUCUUGCUGGUCUCUGCAGCAGGCCGGGUUUGACGUACGGCUGCCACUCACAUUUGUGUGGUAACUGUACCGAUGCAUGGAUAGGAGUACGUUUUCAAUGUAGUUUUAGGAAAGGAACAACGAUAUGUCGACAUGCCAACUCCGGCUGCCAAUGUUUCUCGGCUUUUCGUCCCUAAACGGCUGCUCCAAUUCGGCAAGUCUCUGCUCUCUUUCCUUUUCUGCAUAUACAAAUGCCUUUGGAAAGGUAAAGGAGAAGGGUAGGUAAAGGGCUACCAUGCAACCGAACACCCUGCUGGUAAACAAAUCCUAAAAAUAAAGUUGCUGAACAAUAUACUAUCUGGGAGUGUGAAUUCCAAUGCCAUGGAAUCUUCUCCUGUCUGCGACAGAUACAUGACCAUAUGCUGAGAAAAGUAGAAGCGAGUAGUAAACAACAAGGGACUUCGACAACAACAACAAAAAAAAUUGAAUGUUUAAAGUGAAGGGUAGUUAGUUGACCAACCAAAGAAUUUCAAUUCUUAAUUCGCCCUCUUCUCCUUUAUUUCUGGUUUCAUGCAUGCCUGUUUCAUUUCCUUCUAACGAUAUAAACUAAAGGAAGCGAUUGAGACAUGCUUGAGACAGCUUCUAGAAUCUUUGAAAAAGGAGUCAUAUAUAUAGUGAUGACACAAAAAUUAAUGUGGUCUCGGUUAAAACUAGGGGAAAAGGAAGCACUUUAGAGAUCAAAUGCAUAUUGGACAUUGCCAAACUCGUGGGCACAUCAGCACAAGCUCCAUAGUCCAGAUAUUUAAUGUUGUGUAGGGAACCACUGCAUCCUUUUUGUUGUUUUAUUAUUACUACGGCAAAAUUCUUCCUUUUGUUUAAUUUGUGCCUAUUAUACAGCAAAAUUAAGACUCCAAAUCUUAAAAGAUUCACUGUGGUAACCCAAACAGAAAUGGUUGGCCUAACAUGUCGCAACUUUGUUGUAUAAAAAAGUAUAAAGUGAAAUUGUUAGAAGAGAAACAAAAUAAUGAAGAAAAUAAUGUUCUACUGUGUUAGAUAAUCAAAACAUGCUAGCAGUAUGCUAGCGCUAACUGACAGCGUGAACCCAAAACAUAUACGAUAAAAUGGAGGUACUAAUUAAAUAAUUAAAAAGAAACAAAAAUAAUCACAAAAGAGCUUGGACAGCAGUAGGACAAAGACAGGCACCUACCUACCACACUCAUCCCUGCUAGGGCUUGGCAACUACUCGCUUCUCUCUCUCUCUCUGUCCUCAUACCUACCCGGUCAAAUGUCUUGAGUGAUCCCGGUCAGUGUGCCUCUCUCUGUCUCAUCAUAUAAUCACACGCUCUCUUCUGUAGCUCUCCUCUCUCCACAUCCCUGCACCAAGAACCAAAUACCACUCACCACAGAUAGUCACCACUGCGGCGUUGUUGGUGUAGCUACCUGGUCUGUUUAUCUUGAUUCUUGAGAGAGAACUAGAGAAGCAUCAGGCAUGGGGAGGUCGCCGUGCUGCGAGAAGGCGCACACGAACAAGGGCGCCUGGACCAAGGAGGAGGACCAGCGCCUCGUCGCCUACAUCAAGGCCCACGGCGAAGGUUGCUGGAGGUCGCUCCCAAAGGCGGCGGGGCUGCUGCGCUGCGGCAAGAGCUGCCGGUUGCGGUGGAUCAACUACCUGCGCCCCGACCUCAAGCGCGGCAACUUCACCGAGGAAGAAGACGACCUCAUCAUCAAGCUCCACCAGAUCCUCGGAAACAAGUACGUACGUUAUUAAUUACAAAGAUUAGAGCUUUCUGUUUUUAUUGGGUCUUUCUUAUUGAUUCUUACGGUGUUGAAACAAAUGAAACAGGUGGUCUCUGAUCGCCGGGCGGCUGCCGGGUCGGACGGACAACGAGAUCAAGAACUACUGGAACACGCACAUCAAGCGCAAGCUCCUCGCCCGCGGCAUCGACCCGCAGACGCACCAGCCGCUCAGUGGCGCCGCCGCCAACGCGCCAAGCAGCCGUCUCCAGGAUCAACUGGCGGCGGCGCGCUCCAGCUGCUCGCCGCAGACGAGCGGAGCGGGCCACAGCAGCGAUGAAGACAGCGCGUCCGUGCCGUACCUCGGCGGCAUCGAUCUCAACCUGUCCUUAAGCCCUCCCAGCCAACCGUCCUCGCCGGUCGCCGCCGUUGCCAACUAGCACCUAUAGGCAUAGUAGGCAAGAAGCGGCACGAUAAGAUGAGAGCCUGAGGCACUCCUAGUCUCCUAGACGGAGAGGAUUUGCCUGUUCUUGAGUCUCCAGGUUUCAACAAGCUAGGGGUGCACCUGCUGCGGCGGCCAAGAAUCGAGAGAGAGAGAGAGAGAGAGAGAGAGAGAGAGAGAGAGAGAGAGAGCGAGAGAGAGAGACAAGAUGGCUUAUAAUUUGAACACGAGGAAUCCUGUCUACUGUUCUCUUAAUUUUUGUAAAAAAUAUUUGUGACAUGACGGCUCAUCUUUGUGUAAACAUCUUCACCAAAAUCUAUGCUUCUUCUUUCUUCCCUUUUGAUGCAUGCUAGCUGCUCAGUUGUGCAGCAGUACUGUAUCUGCCUUUGGCGCGGUUGAUUGCGUCCUUGGCCUCUUUCAUCCCUUUUUCCUUCUUUUCGGCUAGUGCAGUGUGACGUUCUUUUGUUCAUAUAUACAUCGAUUCCGGACACUUCUGAUGCAGCCUCUUCUUGGUUCAUGAUACUGGCAAAACUCUCAUCUUAAUCUUACAAUUACUAAUUAAAAACUUUAUAAUAAUUCUAAUAAGACAUGCUAUAAAAAUAUAGAUUUAAAAAAUUCUCAUAAAAAUCAGAAAUAUCGGAUUAUUAAUUUGGUGGUCUCUAAUCAUCUAACUAUAGGAACUAUUAUGCUUUUUAAAAAAUACUCACCCUUGCCAUUGCAAAAAUAGUCGAUAGUAACUACCCACCUUUAUCAAUAUGAAAAGUAACCUAAAGGAACCCCUAAUUUCAUCAAAAUUACCCACCUACACAAAUAUGCCACUCGGUUUACAAUUUCAAUGCAAUGCUUGGUUGUUUGUGUAACUAACUAGAACACGCAUUGGAGAAAAUACACAUUCUAUGUUGGAAAAACGUAAAAGGGUUCAUGUUUGACCGGAAGUCUUGAAGAGAGACAAAAGGUUGACUUUUCUAUCCAUUGCUCGAUCAUGCCAAAACUAGCAAAAUAAUACUCCAAAAUAAAGAAGCAAUGGUCCUCUAGACUCGUUGAUUCCUCUGGAGGAUUAAUACUUAUUCUGGCUUAAAUGUUGAGUAAAUCGUUGAGGACUAGUAGAAAGAAAAAGCCCCGACGCUCUUGUGUGUUCACAAGAGAAUUAGGAAGAGUGUUAGAUCUCCUCCAACAAGACCAUGUCAGCUAGCUCUUAGAUAGUCCAUGUCAUUAUUAAUUGUCCUAUGUGGUGGAGAGAUGAAGAGGAGAGAAAGAAGAGCUACUUUAUUCAAGAGAUAGUCUCACAAACACUUCUCAAUUUUUGGCAGCCAAGUCAUUUAUCUUCUCUAAUCAUCUUUCUUUGUUUUGGGAUGCACAUUAGUUUUGAGUAGUGUGCUUAUUAAGAGCUAACAACUGUUGGAGGAGGUCUUAUACCUGUUUUGGAAUUUCUCUAGCCACUACCGGGGAUUCCACUUUCAGUACCGGUUCCAAACUCCCAUUUAGUACCGGUUGUACAACCGGUAUUGCUAUGUCGGUACUAGGAGGAUUCCACUUUCAGUACCGGUUCCAAACUCCCCUUUAGUACCGGUUGUAUAACCGGUAUUGCUAUGUCGGUACUAGGAGGGGGGCUUUACCCUUUAUUACCGGGUUAAAUAACCAGUACUAACGAGAUCCAUUUAGUACAUUGCGCGAAAAACAAAACCUCGCGUCGUGCACGGUUCGUGGGAUUCGAACCCACGACCUCAAGCCUCACGCUAGCCUUCCUUGUCAUCCCACCUACGCAGUGCAUGUGAUGGAUGUAGAUAUGAUUUCCUUUUGAAGUAAUCUGUGGAGGACCUUUAGUACUGGGUCAUAACACCACCCGUACUAAAAGUUCCCCUUUAGUACCGGGUGGUGUUAUGAACCGGUACUAAAAGUUCUAAAAGGUUUAGUACCAGGUCGUAACACCACCUGGUACUAAAGGGGACCUUUAGUACAUAGUACCAGAUGGUGUUACGACCCAGUAAUAAUAAAAGACCUCCGGGGGUCCUAAAUUUGGAUCAAAAUUUGACAUGUUUUAAGGGAGUGGACGAAAGAUCAUUUUUCUAGUAGUGACCUGAUAUAUAGUCUCAUAAUAAUCGUCCUCAUUUGCCUUUUAUUGCUCCUGAGGACAAUAAUUCCUAUAUAUAGGAUAUAGCUACUUGAGACAAUGAAACCCAAGUACUUUGCAUAUGUCCUAUCGCUAGAGAAAGCAAAGAUUGGCAUACCUCUCACACUGUUCGAAGUUCUGAGAAAUUAGAGUAGAAAUUAAUCUGAAUAAUAAUGGACACCUUUUGAGCUGCUACCUCUGUCCUCUGGUACGCAAAAUCCAAGUAUGUUCCAUAAAAAGAAAAAAAACUACGUACUAAAGCUAUCUAUACUUGAGAACGAAGCAGAGGCAUGGUAAAGAAGGUAAAAUGAUUUGGGAAAAUAUAUUCGAUAUACCUGCUGGCACUUUUUUCUACCAUUUUCUAACCAAAAGGACAUCUAUCCAGUAUUUUAGAAAGUAGUCUAUUUUUUUCAUAUUUCCACAAUUUAAAUAUAGUUAUUUUAAUGUAGGUUGAAAAAGUAACAAAGCUAAAAUUUCCCCACCAAAUCUAGACCUUACCACUAAACAUAAUUUGUUUUUUUUUGUGUGCAGCAACCAUUUGCAGUAAGGACAAUCCUUGCUUUGUUAGAUUUUCCCUACCGCCUGAUUACCUAUUGCGCUGAAAAUAUCUUUUUGUUGUGUAGAUGCUGAGGCAAAAAGAAAAGAACUUAUAACGUAGUAGUAUGGAUAAAUCACUUAUUUGAGUUAUAUAGCAGCAAAUAAAUCUGAAAUUUUUUAUACUCUUUUACAUUGGUUUAAAAGUACCCACCGGUACUUGUUGGUACUUUUGUCUAUGAUUUUUGUUCAAAAUCUGAUCUGAAAAAAUAAUUAAAAAAAUUAAAUUUAAGGAAUUUUUUUGGUAUUUGGUCCCACCGAUUUGGUAGUCCUUGGUACUUCUCAUUAGGUACUUCAAGAUACUUUUAUUGUUUCCAACGUUAGAUUUCUCGGAAUGGAUGGCUCUUAAUUUUUCCGACUACAGUUUCUCUAGAACAUAUAUACUUAUAAGUUAAUAGAAUGAACCAUCUGAGACCAUGAUAGGACUCUGUAACAAUGUAGAUUUCCGUCUCAUGAUGUCGUCAUAUUAUACAUACUCUUUUCUAGUGGAAAUGUUAGAUAAAUCCUCCCACAUACAUGAGUGCUUGAUCAGUAAACAGAAAUUCGAUGGCGAUUGCAAUGGUUGGUUUCCAUUUGGCGGUGGUAGUUGGUGUUUGGUAGCACAAUGACACCACUCAGGCACCUAUGAACAACCACUAGCUAGCUCCUUUGCAUGAGCAGCCCCUACAUUCCUUUUUCUUAAAAAUCUCUACUGCCUUUCAGUAGGUUGGGGCAAAAAACUUGGUCACUCUUGAGAAAGUGCUCGAUGUCUGUGGGCCUCCACCUUCUAGAAGCUAAGCUGACCCCACCCAGUGACUUCCCUACCAAUGGUAAAAUGGACUUACGAACUGUCCUUAUCUGACUGUGACUGGGUACAUCAGAUGCUAAUGGGUGCAGUCAGCCUUGUGUCAAAUUGCCUAAAGUUUUUUCAAGAGUAUAUCGUCUCCUGUGCUUAGGUGGGAAAGGUGAAAGUGAUAUAAUGAGUUGGACAUUGACAAAGCUUAGUGAAAACUCCAAUUUCUUUCACUGACAGCAUAUCAUAUAAGGCCCGCACUUCAUGCUAAAGUGUGCUGGAGAUAGUACGGUAAUUCCAUGUGCCAUAGCUAUAUUUUGAGGCAUAAAAGUAGUGCUUGAAUGUGUGAUAUAUACAACCAUAAAGCUUUAUUUUGACUGCAUGGUCCUACCUCAAAAUCCUUGCUCACCUUUUUGCUGAUCAAACAGAAGAGAUUUGCUGAUAAUGCUCCAUCAGGAUUGUGGAAUUAAUUCUUAUUUUUCAAGGUUGCUUCAGAGGACCUGAGACUUAGUAAACUUGAUUAACAUACAAAUUAAAAUGGCGUAAGAUCUAUGAUAGAUGAUAAAGGCAUUCGUUACAUGUGCAACCUCACUUUUCUCUAGACUUGAGAUCAUGGCCAGUACGUUUAGUUGAUCAACUGCACAAUAAAAAGAUGAAGAAUCUCCUGGCAUGUUACAUCAGAUAUGGAGGGUGCACUAAGCCCGCCACUAACCCUUCUAGAAGCUGGGGUAGCUAGCCAGGGUUGGUUGAUGAGGUACGUACAAGAAAAAGCUCAGGCAGAUAUUAAUUUGUCAUGGCAUCACAAGUGUUCACCUCACUGAAAAAUGGAGUGUACCUGUUGAACCGAUAUUUUAACCAAUUAACCACCAAGCCACUUCACUUUGCGCUUGAGCACUACCAUAUAGUUCAUUUGCCACAUAUGAUAUGAUAGGGAUCAAUGGAAGAUUCUCUUGGUUUUUUUAAAUCGCUGCACCACAUCAGUGAAUAUUGGAUUUGAUCGCUCAGCAGUGUCAUAUGUUUAGGUUGCAUUUCAGGGUAUUAGUCACAGAGAAUAUAUUAGAACAUGGUAAACAUUGUUGGAUUUUCGUUUACUCUUUCCUGAUUCCUGAAGCACUGGCAGAGUCUAUAAAGGCACAUGUGACGUUACCUCAUCAAAUGACAUAUUUUUGAGCUGUUAAACUACUGGCUAAACUUCGCUUAUUCGUUACUACUGUAGUCUGGAUCUACAAGGAGGCAAAGUUAGGAUCCUCUGAACUAACUGAACUAUUGAGGUUCUGUGUUCCAGAUGAGCCAUGCAAAGCUAUACAUGCAUGAGCGCAGUACUGUAUGUUUAAAGCUUGUAAAAUUACCUAAUCGAUCUACUCACCAGCUGAGCUUGACGCAGAAAGCAUACGGCUUAUUAUCUCUGACUAGAGCAUGUUUAGAUUGCUCAGAGUUAGCGCUUGCUAGAGUUAAUUAAUUUCAUUUGCUCCCUCUAGUAAAAAAAAUAAGUGUGUUUGAGUUGCGAGGAAAUAAGUCAACCACCAUGUUAACUUAAUUUGAUUGGAGAUUACUUAUUUACAUGUGUUGGUUAUCAAUAUUUAAAAAUAAGAUUAGUAUACUUUUCUUUGAAAAGUAUUUUUUAAUGGUAUUUUAUACUUUACAGAUAUAUUAAAACAGAAAAUAGUAAUCAAAUUGUGUUUUGGAGAUUGUAUCAAAGACCAAAUGACAUUUGACCGCAGGAGUAGUAGCUUGCCUUUUCCCAUCAACUUCCAUUCUUCCAUAGCAGCACAUGGCAGCUUGACAAGUGUGCAGAUUUAAGAGAAAUUUAUGCUAACAAUAUUUGCUUUCCCUCUCGUCACAGGACUUAUGGAAAAGUAAUUGAAUUUCAUUUUCACAAGUAAACUAUACAUAACCUACAUAGGAAUACUUUUCCAAAACAUGGCCUAGAUUGAAAGCAUAAGGUUAGUCUCAUAAAACUUCACUGACUUAGGUGUUUAUUAGUCUUUCAUAGUUUUAUAUGAAGUUUCAAUAUGUGAAUUAAUGUGUUUAUUGUAUUGUAGUCAUUCUAUAUGGAUAUGCAUGUGUGGAAACUGGAUAGACAUGAGCUAUAUAUUCUUCUUUUGUGUUUUCUGAUGGACAUUCCACAAUGCUUAACACGUCAGGAUUGACUCCGUUAUAGGUCCAUACUGAUCUGGAUGAGAUCGACUAUAAGUUAAUAUCCUCCUUCGCAAAAUUUUGAAUCUGUUCUACAACAUGUGUUAUGAAGUUACCAAAUUUUCGUGUCGCUAGCUGAAUCCAAUUUUAGCAUGUAGGUUUCAAAGUUGUGGCAUGGCAAGCAAAUACAUACCAAUGUAAUUUAUUAGAAUGAAGUCCGAUAGGAUACAUUUGCUAUAAUGAUGUAACAUCUGUGAAAAAAAGCUAUUUGGACAUUUGUCUCAUAGACUCAUACUCAUUCCCGCCAUUGAAUAAAGACAUCACAACUUCUCUUAAAUUGUUCAGUCAGGAAAUUCAUCAAACAUGACAUGUUUGCAUAUAGGGGAAUUUUUAGGAUUGAAAAUAAAUACCAAUUAUUUUUUUGAGAAAUCCUCAUUUUACAAACAGGUUAGGAUCUGACACGUAGAAGCAGUACACAUGCUCUGUGGUUUUGAUGCUUCAAGAUUUUUUUUCCUUUUGAAGGUGAUGCCCUAAGUUAUUUCUCGAAGCACCAAGGAGCUAACUUGCUUCCUCUUUACCUAGUUCUCAUGUUAGUUUUUAGUAGCAACAUAUAUGCUCGUAGCCACUGCCACUAACCUAUAGUGCAACAAGUUAGCAUCUAUAGUAUUUAUAAAUAUGCAUAGAAGUUGUGUCUCUUAAUGAAGAAGAUAGCUAGCCUUUCUCGCUCUCUUUGAUCUCCGCUAGGACACUUGUGAUGUGGUAGGUAAGAGAGAGCUAAUGAAUUGGCCACCAUAUUUUAAAUAGUACCCCCUCUAUUUGAAAUUACAAGGUAUAUUUUCAUUAAAAAAAUAAAUUUUAAGGAAUGUUUCACUUAAUUAGGACAAGGCUUUAAUAUUUCUAAUACUUACUCCAUUAAUACAUAGUUUUUGUACAAAAAAUUGAUCUUACUAAAUUCGUACUGAAAAAACUUGUGAUUAUGAUUCUUAUCAUGCUAAUAGAGUAAUCGCUGGUCAAAACUUUAUUCUAAUGAUAUAAAAUAUACUUUGUAAUUUCAAACGAUGGAGUAUUUCCUUGGGGAAAAACACAAAAAUGCCACGAGUUAAGAGAAAACAUUUCAAAUACUAGAAUAUAUUUGUAUGGCAUCAAUAUUUUGUGGUUACGUAUGCCUAAGUGUUUGUUUUUUUUAACCUUUUUCCCUUCCCAUGGACAUCGAUCGAUUCAGAAGACUAUGCUGCAGAAGCAUCUGGGGUUCAAGGAAUGGACAAAAGAGCGUUGCACUAAACAAAGAGAAGAAAAAGGUAGCAAUAUCAGUAUGCAUCAAAAGUCAGGAAAGAACAUCAAAGUAGCACAUAUUUUAGUGAAGAACAAGCACAAAAGAUAAGCCAGCAAAGAUGCUUAACUAGAAAAAUUAACUACAAGCAUCAAAAGAUGCUUACUACUCUCAGCGGCAGUCGUGAAUCGUGACUCGUGAGUACUCACUACGACACUACUGACCACCAUGGCCGCAGGUGCACCCCUCGCCUCCUUGCAGACCCAGGCGAUUCAAGCACAAACAUAUCUUCUUCCCGUCUGAGUAGCUCCUACUGGAUGCAUCCACUGCCGUCGCGCUGCUUGUGGCUUCUGUUUCUUGCUUCCUCGCCGGCGGUGACGACGUAGAUGGCAAGGACGGUUGUUGGCUGGGCUGGCUUAUGCACAGGUUGAGGUCGAUACUGCAGCGGAACGGCACGGACGCGCCGCUCUCUUCGUCGCUGCUGUUGCUGGCGCCGCUGGUCUCCGGUGAGCAGCUGGAGCGCGCCGCCGGUUGGUCCUCGGGACGGCUGCUUGGUGCGGCAGCAGCGGCGGCGGUGACACUGAGCGGACGGUGCGUCUUCGGGUCGAUGCCGCGGGCGAGGAGCUUGCGCUUGAUGUGCGUGUUCCAGUAAUUUUUGAUCUCAUUGUCAGUCCGGCCCGGCAGCCGCCCGGCGAUCUGAGACCACCUGUUGGAUUGUUUCACACCACCGUAAGAAUCAAAAAAGACCCAAAUAAAACAGAAAUCUAAUUCAACUCUAAUCUUUGUAGUAAUUAACAUAGAUUACUUGUUUCCGAGGAUCUGGUGGAGCUUGAUGAUGAGGUCGUCUUCUUCCUCGGUGAAGUUGCCGCGCUUGAGGUCGGGGCGCAGGUAGUUGAUCCACCGCAACCGGCAGCUCUUGCCGCAGCGCAGCAGCCCCGCCGCCUUUGGGAGCGACCUCCAGCAACCUUCGCCGUGGGCCUUGAUGUAGGCGACGAGGCGCUGGUCCUCCUCCUUGGUCCAGGCGCCCUUGUUCGUGUGCGCCUUCUCGCAGCACGGCGACCUCCCCAUGCCUGAUGCUUCUUGGCAACACCGAGCGAUAGAGCUGAUCAACUGAAGGUGUCUGGUGGUGAUGACUGAUGACUGAUGAGCGUGGCGAGACAGAGAGGGAGAGGGAGGUGGUUUAUGUGAGGAUGAGAGAGAAAGAGAGCCUAGUGUCUACUGAACCUGCCUGAUCGCUCCGAGACAUUUGACCGAGAGGCCCUAGGGAUGGAUUUGCACACUUUUCUGCGAAAUUCUGCUCUGGUUUUUUAGAUACUGGAAAAAAUAUUCCGCAUCAUAUAGACACACUCAAAGUUUAACCCAAUUCAAAAAAAAAGACCAUCCAUGAGACGCAACGAACUACGCAUAGCUCUUGACUUCAGAAAUUGGCUUGGCUCGACUAACCAUUCCAUAUGGUCAUCAAUGUGCUCUGGUGUAUCAUUCUACAGUCACAGAUGCAAUGCUGUCUUGGACAUUAGUAUUUCCGAGUAGUGCCUAUAUCUGUUAAUCAUAUCAACCAUCACACGAUUUGGACAUUGAUAACAUUUUUGAAGUUACAAAAAAUUUAGUGUUAAUAUAAUAUAUACAGUAUAGAGACACGAAAUGAACUUUACAUAUUUUAUUUGUACGGAAAAUAUUUUCAUAACAUCAUAACUUGUUACAUUCCAUAUUGAAAGUAGUGUUGGAUGGAUUAUUUUUUCCCAUCUCUGUCAGAUUUAUUUCCAGCUAUAUAGUGUUGGAUCGUCCUUCUUUUAUUUCAAACGAUGUUAUUUUGAUUCCCAAACAAGCAUUUCUCAACAAUGUUUAAGAACUGAUGUUUUUGCUAAAAAUUGCACCAACUGAAGAUAUUCGAUUAGACAAACAUAGGAAUUGCUCCCUCUAUUCCAAAAUGUAGGUUAUUUUGAUUGUAGUCAUAAAUCAAACUCAUCCAACUUCAACUAAGUUUAUCGAUAAAAUUAUUAACAUCUACAGUAACAAAUAAAUGCAAUAACAAGAUAUAUUUCAUGGUGGAUUUGAUGAAAUUGAUUUGAGGUUGUUGAAGUUGGUGUAUUUCCUUUAUGUAAAAAUGGUUAAAAUUAGAAAAUUUGGCUUAGGACAAACUAAAAUGACUUACAUUUUGGAAUAGGGAUCAGUAGUAGACAAAAAUCAAACAAACAAUCAUGAGCUGGUAAGCGAAUUAAGAACUUUUUUUGGCUGAGCAAUCCCUUGCAAGAAUCGAAAUUGUGUGGGAGUUGUAUCCCUUUUGUUUAGAGGUGCUGAUCGACUACAUUUCUCGGCAUAUGGUCAUGUACAUAUAUGUCAGCUGAAUUAAUUUUUUGGCAUUGGAAUUCUCUCUCCCCGGACAUAUUUGUUAGCGACCUUUUAACAUUAGUUGACUAGGGUCAUCGGUAGGUAGCCCUUACCUGCCCCUAUCUUCUUCCACUUUUUAUGAGCAAACUUGCUGAAUUGGAGCAAUUUUGUAGGGACGAAAAGAAGCAGAUCAAUCCAAGAAACAAUGUGCACACCUGCCGAAGUGAGCAUUACGCCGUUUGUCCAUUGACCUUUGAAUUCUACUUACGCUCACUUUCCUUGCAUAUGAAUAAGCCAUAGUCACGUUGCUUAAUUAUUUUCUGUAUUAUUACUAGUGGCUUCUUAGGAAUAAUGUAACAAGGAUAUGUCCAUACAUAAAUCUUUUAAAACGAACCGGCAGAGAGGCAGACCAAUAGCUAGCAAUGGGUAGCCAGCAAAACAGUUAAGCACACGAUCACUGUUAGUUAGUCAUAUGUAUAUACAGUAACAGAACUCUUUUUCGCAAAAAAAAAAAGAAUGUAUUCACAGAACUCUGAAGAAUAAUUUAAUUUGGCUAUAUAUGACUUCAAUUAGUUCUGCGACAAAUUAAAAUUAAUUUAAUUACGUACAAGAAUUAAUGCAGGAGUGGUAGGUAAGGCGCAUGGUGCUGAUGAUGAUGAGACGAUUUGAGGCCGAUUGCCACCUACCGCUUUGGUAGGUACGCAUGCAUGGGCUACAUGCUCAACCUGCCCGCCUGGACCCUCUACUGCGACCUAUGUUACUAUGAUUAUUCUCCCUACACUACUUGACUGCUUCUUCUUGCAGCGACUCAUCAUAGAUGCAUAUGUGUAGUCAUUUCAGCUUACAUAUGUCAAGGGAAAAUACAAGUUCAGCUAAUAAUGACAUGUACGUACUAGUUUCUAGGAACCAAAGCAAAUGGAUAGAUGUGCAAAAGUUGAUGCCUUUCAGACGUGAAGGUUGUUAAUUGGAGCAAAGGUUGUUAAUUAAUUGGAAAAGAAAAACAGAAAUUUGCUAGAUCUCAGGUAAGCCAAAUCUUUCUAAAGAAAGUAAACUAUACUCCCUCUCUUCCAAAUUGUAAGUCAUUUUUAGCUUUGCUCUAAGUCAAACUUAUCUAAUUUUGACCAAAUUUCUAGGAAAAUAUACUAGCAUCUACAACAUAAAAAAAUGCACAACCAAUAUAUAUAUAUAUAUAUAUAUAUAUAUAUAUAUAUAUAUUAUAUUGUGUAUCUAAUGAAAAUAGUUUGAUGUUACGGAUAUUUGUGUAUUUUUAAUAAACUUGGUUAAAGAUAGAGAAGUUUGACUUAGGACAAUCCUAGAAUGAAUUAUGAUUUGAAAUGGAGGAAGUAUUUCACAAAAAUUAGCAGUUGGGUUUGGGGAUUUGAAAUGGAGCAUAGUGACAUCAAUUCAGAUCAUUCCAACCUGUUAGCAAAUAAUGCGAAAAUAAGAUCGAACACGAGACAUGAUUUUUACGUGAAAAACCCUUGCGGGAAAAAACCACGGACGCCAAUCGGCGAUCUUCACUAUAAUGAGAGAGUUACAACGUAGGAAAUACAAUGAGUCGUUUUGCUCUUCCCGUGCGGCUUACAAGAUAUAUAUAUAGGGUGGACUAAACUGACUACAGUCAAAUACGAAAACAAAUUCGUUGAUCACAUAACCCGAACCGUGGGCCCUCCAAGCAUCCCCACAAGACUCACAUUAUGAUUCGGAUAACAAACUCCACCUUGAGAUGAAUUCCAUCUUGUAGGAAAUGAAGUAUCAUCAAUGAACUCACUUCAAUAAUAAAUAAUCACCGACGCCAAAAGUCACUAGGACUUAAACUUUAACACCAACCAAGCUUGAGCAUAGCUCAAACUCAGCUGUAGGAACAUGCUUAAUCAUCAUAUCAGCGGGAUUGUCACGAGUAUUUAUCUUGCAUACUUUAACAUCACCUUCAGCAAUAGCGCCUCGAAUAAAAUGAUAUCUCACAUCAAUGUGCUUUGUUCUUUCAUAAAACAUUUGAUCUUUAGUAAGGCAAAUAGCACUUUGACUAUCACAGUGUAUAGUAAUGCAAGAAAAAAUCCCUCAAAGCUCAGAGUAUAAACCUUUCAACCAAAUAGCUUCUUUACAAGCUUCAGAAAUAGCUAUAUAUUCAGCUUCAGUAGUGGACAAAGCAACGGUAGCCUGUAAACUUGCUUUCCAACUAACAGCACAACCACCAAUGGUGAAAACAUAACCUGUGAGAGAAUUCUUUUUUCCAAAUCACCAGCAUAAUCAGAAUCAACAUAGCCGACAAGUCCAUCUCUAGAUUUCCCAAACUGCAAAUAAGCAUUAGAAGUACCACGCAAAUAUCUGAAAAUCCACUAGGGAAACGCAUAGAUUUACAAUAGCGUAUUAAGAUUUUCUGAACUUUGAAAGGGUAGGUACACUACUACACAUACCUUCAUCACUGUCGGCCCCCAAUCCCUCAUCAGCGUCGGUUUUGAAUCCAUUGUAUCAAUUUUGGCAGUGAGGGGGUAGAACCGGCGGUGAGGCCAUUUUAAAAAAACAAAAAAUUUGGACCCCACCCACCGCCAUGCAGCACCGGAUCUGGCCGCCGCGCGCCACCGGUAGCACGCUCCCACCCCACCACCAUGCAGCACCGGAUCUGGCCGCCGCGCGCCACCGGCAGCACGCUCCCACCCCGCUGCUGCCGUCGCCACCCCAGCAGCACGCCCUGCUAGAGCCCCGUCACCACCAGAGAGAGAGAGAGAGAGAGAGAGAGAGAGAGAGAGAGAGAGGUGGCUCACCAGAUCUGAGAUGGGGAGAGGGGGGCUGCUGCUCCUGGAUCUCCUCCCGCGCUGCCGCUCCUUGAAGCUGCCGCUGCUGCUUCUCGAAGUCACUGCUCCUCGAAGCUGCCGCUGCCGCCACCGGAUCUCCUCCCACGUUGCCACUCUUGCUCCCGCGGGCUGCCGCCGCCGCUCUCCUUGCCCCGCUGCUGCUCGUCACUGCAGCCAUAAGUUGUGAGGGGUGCACGGAGGGGGGGGGAGGAGAGGGGUGGUGACAUCUUCUGGAGAGGGAGGAGAGGGGUGGCGCGAGAGGAGGGAAGGGGAGGAGAGGGCGGCGGGAGGGAGGGAGGAGAGGAAGAGCGGGGUGGCGAGAGAGGAGGGAGAGUGGUGUGAGAGAGGGAAGGACAGGGGUCGGGUGGGGAGGGAGGGGGGUGGGCCGGGUGGGUGUUGGCCUGUUGGGUGAGUUCCGGACGCAAGGGUUGAGUCAAAAUUGAAAUUGGUAAAAAUUUUGGAUCCGUGAACCAACCAUCACCGCCGGUUUGUAUUACAAGCCGGCGGCGAUAGUUUAUCACCGCUAGCUCUUAAUAUAAACCAGCGGUAAUAGGAUGAUAUCAUUGUCGAUUUUAAUUAUCACCGCCGGAUCAUGUAAAAAGCCGGCGGUGACCGCCGGAUCGCCGAAAAUUGGCAGUGAUGGGCCGGCGGUGAUGACAUUCUCUCUAGUAGUGGUAGAUGACAAUUCCAACUGAAAUAGACAAUGUAAUAAAAAAAUCGAUGAGUUUCCAUUCUAUUCAAGACCAAAUGGUCACCGGACGUUACAUCACCAAAGCACAAGCUUUCCAAAACCUAACACUGUUCGUUUGUUUUGGCAUAGGGGCUCUUCUUGCACGUUCAUAGUGUGGUCCUAUGAUUGAUCACUCGAUCGGUCCUGUUCUAGAAGGGGGGCUACCUACCAAAACAUUAUCAUAGUUUAGGUCCAGUGGAGAGUGUACACAAAUCAUCGUUUGCCCAAUGUAGCUAGGACCAUCAGGCACUAGCUAGCUAGCCAGCUCUCCUUUUCUUAAUUAUAUAUGCAGUGCAGACAAGAGAUGUUCUCGGUACUUGCUUGCAUGUGACACAAAACAUGUUUUGUAUCUUAGUAGGGAUAUAUGUUGUGCUAUUGGAUGCCAAGCACCUGCCAAAAUUGCACGUGUGUUCACAUAUAUAAGCAUGAUACUAGUACAUUCAUAUGAUGUACCUAAUCCUGCCAUGGGUUAGGGGGAUAUGAGACUUGUUGGUGUUAAGUGCUCCGACAGUCACAUAGCAGCGUUUAUUGUGGUUGGGUUCUUUACCCGUACGUGAGAAUAUUCUUGUUCACACUGCUACCGAAAGACUUCAUCAGAGGAUGAUGCAGUUUCAUCACUAUACUAGACGCAUAUAUAUGAAGCAUGCAUAAUUGCAUAUGGAUGUCGAGUGUCGACAUGCAUACAUUUCGACAGACCUAAUCUCUAACCUAGAUAAAAACAUCGUCCCGAACGACAUGCAUGUAUACGGACUAGCUAUGAACACUCUCAUAUUUUUUAACUUGCAUUCAUGGAUAGAAAAAAAUAUGAUUAUAAUUAACUCUGUUUCUUACUUAUUAAGGCUGGUGCAAAUAUCCACUGUGAAUAAGUGGUAUCUUCAAGCUUGGCUGACGCGAUUCCUUGUAAGUAACAAGCUGAGUUCACGGCCAUGCUUGCAAGGGUGCAUCAGAGCCGAAGAUGAUUUUCGGUGCAGACAUAGCAGUCAGGACUCCUUGCUAGAAUAAUAUAUUUGGAGUACGUUCGAGCUGGAGAUGGAUCGCUGAGAUGUGUGCAAGCUAGCAUCGAUAGAUGGAUCACGAGCUCCUUCGAAUUCGAGAUGGUGAAAAGAGAAAAACGUGAUCCAUGCAUUCCUUUUAGCAUUCUGGUACGACAUCGUCCCUGGUGUUGAUGUGCUAAUAAUUGAUUUCCACCCAUUAUAACCUACCUGGCAUUAGAUAUAUACAUGCUCCUGCUAGGACGACGCAUCACCUGCAUGCCUUCCUUAUCUGAAUGGCUUUAUCUGAUCGCUGCGUUCUGCUAGGAGUAUGCAUGCAUUUGUCAGGACUACUAUCACCAAACAUUUCAGAGAAACGUAACCACCGCCAUGGCCCCAACACGCUACGCUACACCGCGCCUUUGCACGCAGAAAUUGUUUACUCGUGGUAGAGCUCAACAGGCCAACAGCAGAUACAACACGAAUUGAUAAAAAUAUUCUCGCGUGCGUCACCUUGCACGAAUGGAGUAUAUGCUCACUGCCGGAUGCAUAUAUACAACGCCGAGGCAGCACACUCAUCAUCGAGCAACACUACCACUGCUGCCGCCGCCAACAAGUGCAUGCGCGCCAUGGCCGCCGCCGCCGCCGCCACGCUCCUCCUCCCUCUCCUCCUGUCCGCCAUGAUCACGGCUUCUGUGGCGGCGGCGGGCGAGCAGGAGACGCUCAUCAAGGUGUACUGGCACGACGUGGUGAGCGGGCCGGACCCUACGAUGGUGGCGGUGGCGCGGGCCGCGACGACCAACGCCUCCAAGACCUUGUUCGGCUCCGUCAUUGUCAUCGACGACCCGCUCACGGAGGGCCCCGACCUCGGCUCCUCCCGGCUCGUGGGCCGCGCGCAGGGCACGUACGUCAGCGCCGACAAGGACGUGCCGGCGGUGGCCAUGGCCAUGACCUUCGUGUUCCAGGGCGGGAGCAGGUACAACGGCAGCUCCGUCGCCAUCAUGGGCCGCAACGAGGUGGACGCCGACGUCAGGGAGAUGGCAGUCGUCGGCGGCACCGGCGUCUUCAGGUGGGCGCGCGGGUAUGCGCAGGCCAGGACGCAUGCCUUUAACCUCAGCACUGGCGACGCCACCGUCGAGUACAGCCUCUUCGUCAGACACUGAUCGAUUAUAUAUUCUCGAGGAAGCACUACUAUAAUACAAUAACGGCUACAAUCUUGUGUGUUUGACGGCCCUGGGUACUUAGAGCCUGAUUGGUUGCUUGCCUGCCAAAAUUUGGGCCAUUUGGGCAAAAAACUUACCAAUAUUUUGGUAAGAAAAGGGAGAAGUUUCUAAAUUUUGGUACCAAACCAAAUAGUGGCUAAAAAAUUGGCUUGCCAAAACUCUGGCAUGCCAAAAAUUUGGCAACAAACCAAUCAGACUCUUAUUUGCAUAAGCAACUAUAUGUGAUAUACGUGUUGUGUCAUUUUACUCUCUGGUAACUAGUACUCCAUCUGUUCGAAAUUGUAGGUCGUUUUGGCUUUUGUAGGUUCAUAGAUAACCUAGAAAAGUCAAAAGACCUACAAUUUGGAACGGAGGAGUAAUUAUUUUUUUAGCCACAUUUAUGCAAAGCAGAUAACAUAAUUUUUUUUGCUCUUCUUGUUGGACUAAUCUUUUCUUUACAUUUAGAUCCCUUUCUGAACAAGGAAAACAUAUUUUAUCAGCUUUAGAUAGUAAUUUCUAAAUUUUCAUUCAAAAUUCUGACAAUUAAAAUCUAAAUCUUGUAAAUGUCAAAUGAAAAAAAACAGAGAGCGACUAACAUAAGUUUGGACCAUGCAAAUAUCAAAUUUUGCCAUCAAAGUGUAGACCUCACUAGCUACUCGACCAUGCAAUUAAUUUUUUGUUUAGCAAUCUUGCAGUAUAUGCUCCAAUCCUAGCUUCGGUAGAUAUUUUCUUGCGCCUGAUUAACUUUUAGGCUGCAAAGUGCAAACACUGUUUUUUUAGUUUAGAUCCCUAGGGGAAAAACAACAAUUGUAACAUUGUUUCGAUAAAAAAAAAUAUGCUCUUUUAAGUUCAGACCAUGCAAUUAUAUGAAACCACAACGCUCUGCCAGUGUACCAUUUUCGAUGUCAUAAUGUCAUACUAUAUAUACAUUUUCUUGUUGGAAGUGUUGAAUUAAUACGCCUACUAGUAUAUGAGUGACUGAUUAGUAGUAAACGAAACUUUGAUGGUGUCGAUUGCAAUGGGUGGUUCACAUUUGGCGGUGGUAAUUGGUAGUUAGAAGCAAAUGGACACCCAUAGUAGUGCCUAUAUGAACAACAGCCCUUAGUAUAGUGCCUAGCUAAUAUAGCUCCUUUGCCACGUGAGCACUGCUGCUUUAUUUGCACUACUUGUCUGUAUGGCAGCUGCCCCUACAAUCAUCUUUCUACAAAAUUUCUAGUACUAUUAUAUUAUUCUUUCAGUAGGUUGGGAGUUGGGACAAAAUACUUGCUCUCUUGAGAAAGUGAUCAUCAGUGGGCCUUCACCUUCUAGAAGCUAUUCUAGCCCCUGAGUGACUUCCCUAGGUAUCAAUGGUGAAAUGGACUCAUAUAACUGUCCCUGUCUGACUGAUAGAUGCAUCAGAUUUUAUGGAUGCAGUGAUUCGCCUAGUGCCAAAUUGCCCAAGUAAUUUUCAAGAGUACUUCACAUUAAGGGAGUGCGUUUAAUUGAUCGACCUCACAAAAGAGAUAAAAUCUCACCGCAUGUCACAUCAAAGAUGGAGGGUGCACUAAGCUCGCCACUAACCCCUUCUAGAAGCUGGGUAGCUAGCUAGCGUUGGUUGAUCAGGUACGUGCACAAGAAAAGCUCAGGCAGAUCUUUGUCAUGGCAUCACAAUUGCACCUAACGGAAAAAAGGAGUAUACCUGUUACGUUGAACCGAUAUAUUAACCAAAUUAUCGACCAAGCUCAGGCAGAUUCUUUGUCAUGCAAACAAUUCAAUUCUCACAUAUGAUAUGAUAAAGGAUAAACUAUAUGAAAGGUUCUCUUAGUCUCUAUAUAUCAUUUGCAUAAUAUAGAACAACCUUGUCGUGUUAAGUUGUGUUUCAUGGUAUUCGUCAAAGAGAGAUAGGGAAUAAUACUAGAAAAUGGAAAAAUCCUUUUGCACUUCUAUUUGUUCUUUUUUGAAGCAAUAGCAAUGGCUAUGGUGGUAUGUGACAUCCCCUCGAUCGUGAUACCUCAAAUGAAGAAUUAACAGGGUAAACGUCUAGUCCCUAACAGAUAAUGUGAAGUUCCUGUGUGCGGAUGUGUGUUCUGCAAUUUGAAUAAUAUGACAUAAUAUUGUCUUGUAAAACUCUAGUGAACUUAGUUUUAAGUAUUCUUCAAUUUCUUUGUUUUCUUAGUGAUAAAUCCAGCAUGCCAUAAUUGAUUUGUAAGGUCCACAGAAAUUUGAACAAGGACGACUAAAAUACUUCCUGCAAUCACAAAUAAGUAAAAUUUUGAAGUUACCUUAUGUCAACUAUAUAUUUUUAAAUUGUAGGAAUCACAUCAAUUAUUUAUGACUGGAGGGAGUAGAAACCCUUUGCAUACGGUGUUAUAUAACCAUACAUGUACCAAGUGGCAAUAUUAAUGUAUCUUUUUUACAGUUUGUUACGAAGUGGCCAAUUUAUAUGUCGUCGACUACAUUCUUUGUAUGGUUUUUUUUUAAAGAUGUCUUGUUGAUGCAAAUACCUAGAAAUUUAGGAUGUCCAAUUUAGAAUGUUUGUGUAGGGUAACUAUAAUCCAAACCCUAUCAAGAAGAUUUUGGAGAAAUCCUCCCAUUCUAAACAGGCAAAAAUGUGCACCUAUAUUCAUGCUGAAUACGUUGUUUUCCUUCAGGAACAAAUUAUGUUUAUUCCUUUUAGAGGUUAUGUUAGUUGUCCUUAGUAACAGUAGAAAUAUCUGUAUGUAUACUUUGUACCACCGCUAAUUUAUAGUGCAAGUUAGCAUCUACAACACAUUCAUCAUGAACUCCAUGAUGAGUACGUAUUCGCUCUUCAUCUAGAAGAGAACUUUUCUCUCUUGUCCUUAGGAUAUUUGAUGGUGUGGUAGGUAAGAUAGCUGAUAUGGCCACCAUGCAAUAGUAUGUGUCCUUGCAAAAAGAAAAAGAAAAAGCUCAAAAUUAACCCCAAAUAUGUACUUUACUUGACAAGAGUUUGUGCUGCUUUUCCCAAACGCCGAUCUAGAUGCUGAUCUGGGAUUCAAGCAACGAACAAAAAGAGCAUGGCGUCAUCAACCGAAAAGUAGAAAAGGCCAGCAAGGCUAUUGCAGACAGAUAGCACUAGACCAGCGGGGCAUCAGUUUGCAUCAAAAGGUUUGAAAGAUCAAAAGUACUUCCUCAGGAUUAAUUAUCAUAUCAUGGAGUUCUGCCGCAAACAAGGAUUUUCAUCACCAUAAGCCCUAAUUAAACGAGUCAUACUGUCAUAGUCGACCUUGAUCUACCUGCAUGGCAGAAGAAGAGAAGCUAACCAUCGCCCAGGCGCCACGCCGCCUUGCAAGUCCAGGCACACGCAUGACGCAUAUCCUCUUCCUCUAGCUUUUCCUUGUGGGUGUAGUUUCCUCUACAGUCGCGCUGCUUGUCGCUUCUGCUUCUUGCGUCGCCGUCGGCAGUGGCGACGGCGACGGCGGAUCUCUCGGCGGGCUUAUGGCUAGGUUGAGGUCGAUGCCGCCGUGGUGCGGUGCGGACACGCUGUCAUCGUCGCUGUUGUGGCAGCAGGCGCCGCUGGUCUCCGGUGAGCAGCUGGAGCGCGCCGCCGGUUGGUCCUCGGGACGGCUGCUUGGUGCGGCAGCAGCGGCGGCGGUGACACUGAGCGGACGGUGCGUCUUCGGGUCGAUGCCGCGGGCGAGGAGCUUGCGCUUGAUGUGCGUGUUCCAGUAGUUCUUGAUCUCAUUGUCAGUCCGGCCCGGCAGCCGCCCGGCGAUCUGAGACCACCUGUUUGGAUUGUUUCACACCACCGUAAGAAUCAAGAAAGACCCAAAUAAAACAGAAAUCUAAUUCAACUCUAAUCUUUGUAGUAAUUAACAUAGAGUACUUGUUUCCGAGGAUCUGGUGGAGCUUGAUGAUGAGGUCGUCUUCUUCCUCGGUGAAGUUGCCGCGCUUGAGGUCGGGGCGCAGGUAGUUGAUCCACCGCAGCCGGCAGCUCUUGCCGCAUCGCAGCAGCCCCGCCGCCUUGGGGAGCGACCUCCAGCAGCCUUCGCCGUGGGCCUUGAUGUAGGCGACGAGGCGCUGGUCCUCCUCCUUGGUCCAGGCGCCCUUGUUCGUGUGCGCCUUCUCGCAGCACGGCGACCUCCCCAUGCCUGAUGCUUCUCUAUCGAUCUCAGCACGAACCACGGAGUGAUAGACCUGGAUGUGUCGUCUCUGCCUGCCUCUCCUGAUGGUGAGUGUUGUGAGAAGAGAGAAAGUGGCCGGGGCCGUUUAUAUGUGGAGAAGAGAGAAGUGGGGCCCACUGACCCUGAUCGCUCCAAGUCAUUUGACUGAGUAGGUAUGGUAUGCGCAGCCCUAGGGAUGGAUUUGGUUUGGUGGGCAGCUGUGCUCCUGAAGCUCUCAUAAUUCUGCUCCGGUUCCUAUAUACUACGCCCAAGUUCUUUUUUUUUUACUUUUUUUCUUUUCCUAGGCUUAGAUGUUUGUCUCGGGGUAGUAGGUAUCCAUUGCUGUUAAUCUAACGUCACCCAUGCAAUAUUGUUUUGGACACUAAUAUGAAAAUCUUUCAGUGUAUAUGCUGAAACAUGACCAAUCCUCAUAUACAUUCUUUUUUUGCGGGGAAAAUCCUCAUACAUAUUUAUUUUCAUAAAUACUUCCAUAUAUAACAUCUUAAGUCAUUGCAGUAUGUUGUAUAAAUCUAUUACACUGAAAAAUGAGUGCUGAGUGAGUUGUUUUUUCUUCUAUGCCCGAUAUAUGUAUGUAUGUAUGUAUGUAUGUUAGAUCAAUUCUACUAAUAUCAUUUUCAUGUAUUUAGUAGCCGAAGUUUCUAAAAUUUAUCUGCAGGCAUGGCAUGCCUAAAUAACAUCUGGAUCAGAGGGAGUAAUAUUGUCACACAGCAGUUGAUAUGCCUUUCAGACAGCAGUAACUGGUGGGUAAAAAUAUCAUGCUUCCAUUAUCACACAGCAGUUGAUGCGCCUUUCAGACGUGAAUGAUGUUUACAACACGCGGUCAAUAUAAUGGAGCGUCGUGAAUACCAACUGAAGAACGGAGACACCAAGUAAGAGGACUCGUGGUCAGCGCCCAACUUUUCAGCACUGACAGCCUUCCGUGGGGAGUAUAUAUGAAUUGAAGCUUAAUUUCUCCUUCUCUUCCAUAUGCAGGAUCUUUUGAUCAAGCACGUACAUAACCAACGAGCGAGAGAAUGUAGAACACCUGGAAACUUUGACUGAUCGGUUAUCUGUAUUUUCUGGACAGCGCCAUCUGUAGUUUGCAUAUAUGAUCUUGCACUUCAUCAAUUCGAAGGCUUUGAAUUUGUCAAGCAAGAAGGUUUCUUUGAACAUUGAAGAAGCCGUGCCAAGAGAAUCAUUUUGGAGAUCACGACGAGGACCCAUAUGCCUUCUUCCGUGGAUCUCUGAACCUUAAAAAAAUAAACGAAGACUGGACGGUGAUGGACAAAGCAUUUUAUCGGCCAACUUGUGUCACAUCGAAUUCCAACAGAUCUUUGCUUCUUCAAAGCGCAUCAUGCACGAAGGCUUCUCCAAAGAAAGCGCCGUACGCAAAACUACUCGAUUUGGGAACCAAAAUUUUUUUUAGCUACUUUAAAGUUUUGGCUGGGGACUAUUACGGAGCAAUUGCUUGGUAGCCAUUAAUUCCAAAAUUUUGCAUGCAAUCUAUUGUUUGCUAUCGAUGUCUCAUGCAAUGACAUACAGGGCCUAUCCAUAUCACUUACAGUGGUAAAUAAAAGACUGAGAACUUAGCAAUGGCAGCAAAGGAAUUUAUCCCUUUGAAAAACGCAUCGACAAAAUCCGAAUGGGGUCGAACAGUGAUACAUCACCUAACGACAGAAGCUGACCAAAAUACCUAAUACUAUUCCCUGAACAUAUGGCACACGCUUGCUCGUUUCAUAAUGUGGUGGUCCGGUUGAUCGUUUUGCUGGGUUUUCUAGAACGGGCUACCUACCAAGCUACCUCUCGUCCAUAUCAUAGCUUAGCUAUAUGUAUAGGCCAGGUAUCAGUUCGGCCAAUCUAGCUAGCUAGGACCAUUUGGGUACCAGCUCAAUUAUUAUAUUGUUCUUAUGCACAUACAGUGCACGCGAGAUAUUAAUUUGCAGUACUGGCAUGUGCCACAAAACAUUUUCAAUUUAUAUAUGUUUUGCUGUGACAUUUGGUUCAAGGUAAACAUAUACCCAACAUGGUCAUCGGGUGAUGUACAGGUUAACACAUAUAGUACUACUAAGGAAAGGUUGAUUAACCUCAUGGACAUCAUUAUUUGUCGAUUCUCGCACCACACAACAUAUAUCUUCAAUUGUGGUUGGCUUCCCUAGCAGCGUGAGAAUAUAUAAGCAUGUAUUAAAUUUACUUCUCUCCACCUAUGCAUAGUUCUUAGCAUAUACUCCCUCCGUUCUCUUUUGAUAGGACUAUUUGCAAAAUUAAAUUUUUCUCUUUUGAUAGUCCUAUUUGAGUUGUUGUCUCGGGUUUGGCACAAAUGGCUGUUCGAUUCCAGUAACUCCUCUAGAAAAAUAAUUGGUGCAUGUAUAUGAUAACAUUGAUACCAAGGUGCAUGUAUAUGAUAACGAGGAGUACAUAAUGACAUGAUUCAUUAGAUUAUAAGUAAGGUUCAUUUUUCUUAAUCGUUGUGCCAAGAUGAAAUAGGUCUAUCAAUAGAGAAUGGAGGGAGUAGUUUCAAAGAACUAUGCAUACUCGCCUCAAAAAAAGAACUAUGCAUACUUUAUCAAAAAGUACACAUUUUCACACACUAAAGAAUAUGCAGGGUCCAUGUUGCUUAUUUGCGAUAUAUAAAGUACCUAAAAUGUAGUUUUCCAAAGGUUUGCACAAACCUAUUUUAAAAUGAAGUAUGACAUUUCAAAAACUAGCAAGGUAUAGCCUCUUUUCUACUAUGUGCAUUUUUAAAUGUAUGGCAUUUAGGACAAGCUCAUUAGUUUAAAAUGAAGUAAUUAUCUUGUCCUAAAUGACAUAUAUCAAAAAAACUGAGAGAGUGUAGCAGAAUCUCCAUGUCCACAUUACGUCAUUAAAUACAUCCCUCAAGGCCUCAACGCCCAUGAAAAGAAAGAAGUCAAAUGUUUGCAUGCGUCAGACUAGUUAAACUGGUAAGACGAUGCUCCUACAGCUAUCAUGUGUGCAGGGAUUAUCCAUAUUAUUGUCAUGCAUACACUGACGUCCAAUAUUACGUGUUCUUCUUACUUUUCUUGUUACGAGAUACGGUUGAAUAAUAGCUACCCGGCCGAAAACAAUUCUUCGCGAUACGUAUGUCACUGGAUUAUGCUUUGCUGCUAAUUUAUGAUCUGAACUCGGUAUCUUUGUGUUCACAUUUCCACAUCACCUUAUUGAUUGCAGUUACAAAUGUGCAUGCGUGCGUGCAUGAACUCGUACGACUAAAUCGGAGGGAUGAUGGGCUAUAUUUGUUUCCGCUUAUAAACAGCUUAUCCGUGAAAAUAAGCGAGAAUCCCACCAAACGCCUUACUUAUUUUCUAAAUUCUUGCUUAUGUGGUAAGCUGUUUCAUUGAUUUGAACUACAAGAAGCGAGAAGCGAGAAAAUCUUCGCUUAGAUUAUAAUCCAAGCAUGGCUGAGAAAAGCGGAAAUAAACAGGGUAGAUAUCAACUCCAGUAGUAGUCACGCAGAUGAUGCACAAGUGUCGACAUGCACACAUUUAUAUCUAGCCUUCCAACAAAACCUGCUCCCUAAGUUCAUUUUUAUAAACUACUUCCUCCGUUUUAAUUUGUAGGACGUUUUGACUUUUUUAGAUACAUAAUUUUUACUAGAUUUAUGUCUAAUACGUACAUAGUAAAAUUUAUGUUUGAAAUAGAGAGAGUAUAUUUUGUGCGUUCAAGUUAAUGCUUUGACCAACAGUUACUCCAAGAAUAUAUAUGAGAUAUGUUCCACGAAAUAGCUAGCAUAGUUUUUUUUUUCAAAAAAACAAAACAGAUAGGGGUAGCUUCCAAUUGUAUUUAAAGAAAGAAGAAGUAAGGCCAGACUAAUAGCAUGUGAGUUAUGUCAUAAAAUUAAAAGCGUACUAUUUUUAAAAGAAGUGAGUCCAAACCGGACAGAAUUGAUAGCAUAGUUGAUUUCCUACUUAAAGCACUCCCAAUGGAUUAUGAUUUGUAAAUAUUAGUAAAAUAUUAUGAAAGAAUAUAUGAUCGAAGAUCAAUUUUUAACGUAAAAUAGAACGCCUUAUAUAUAAACUAAAUGGUGGAAGUCGUUCAUAUGCUUUAUUAUACCAUGUUUUUCUAAGGAACUCCUUAAUUACCUUGACAUUUCCAAAACAAAAAAAAAAGACUGCUGCCGCAUUGGCGUUUGGGGUCGGACAACCCACUUGGCCCAAGCACGUGCGAAUAAGGCCCAAAUAGGCCCAUCUAUCGGGUGCCCGGUAUCCCUGUUUGGAGGAUUUUUUGUUAUCAUUUUUAUAUCGUGGCCGGUCAUUAAUUAAUCCAUUUUGCCAUCCACCCCUGCGAUUUCUGCUUAUUGAUUGAUACAUGCCCCCCGGCCUCCCUCCCCACGCCACAAGACAUCUCCGACGAAGCUUCGCGCGUCCUCCGCCUCCCCUCUCAAAGCGCCGCCACGACCCCGCAAGCCACCACGGGCAACGCGAUGGCUUCCCGCGCCAGCACCGCCUCCGGCGGUGGCGGCGGCGGCGGCGUCCUUGCCAAGGUGAGGGCCGCCGCCAGCCUCUCCAGCCGAUCGCAGCCGCGGCAGGAGCUGGGAUCCUCCUCCCGGGCCCCAGCUCCCGGGGCCGCGUUCGACCCCUUCGACGUCGAUGCCGACCCGCCGUCACAACUGGAGCUGACGCCUGAACAGGUCGGGCACUGCAGCGAUGCGCUCGCGCACUUCGAGAAGAGGAAGAGGCGGAGUGACUUGUCAGAAGAGUUCGGAAGCCUCUCGGUAUGGAUGAUUAUUUGUUUUGUUCUGAUUGGUUCUACCUCCGUGACUGUUUUGAAAUUUGUGCCACGUAUGGGCUGACUUGUAGCUCUCCUAUAAUCUAGCUUAGAACUAGUAGGAUUGGUUUGCUUUGUUACUACUGUCGUCUAAUCUAGCGAACUAAUCAGCAAUUGACUGUUAAUUUAUUGCAUUAUUGUACUGUAAUUUCGUCUGUUUUCACUACCUUGUGUGGACAUUACACACAAGUUACAGAAUAAUUAAUCCUACUCUUGGUAUGGAUGAUUAUUUGUUCAAUUCUGGUUGGUUCUACCUGCCUUAGGCAUUUGUUUUCUUAACGAUGUAUUGCUUUGAAGCAAAGCACUGGUGCUGCAUUGCUUUGAAGUGAAGUGUUGGUGGUCUGAUGCAAUGAUAUGGCGUGCCAUAUAUGGGAAGCAGGAUAAGUAAAAUGCUGUAGCUAAACUGUACUACAAAAUACUUUAAAAAACAGUAGGUUGCCUGGACAUUCAUUCAUGGAGAAUGCUGUAAGCAACAGAAUAUCGCUAAUACCAGGCUUGAGUUUGAAUUGUAAAUGUUAAGUUUGUUGGGAUUUUAUCAAGAUCACUUAGUUUAAGGACUUCCAUAUCUUCCUCUUUGUCAGCUACUAUGGAUAGAUUUAUUCAUAUCAUUGUUGCAUUUCAUUUCAAAUAGAGAACUUCUGUUGUUAUAUCUUCCUUUAUUUUAUUUUGGUGGACUGAAUUUUAUUUCAUUCUAUAAACCUUCAUCUUUAAUCUUGUAGUUUUGGUUUAAAUUUGAAAUAGGCGUUUUGUUAACAUAGCAAAUUUGAACAGCUACAUGAUCUUCUGUACAGGGUGCUCUUCAUUGUCCAAUUAAGAGAGCUUGAUUUUGUUUUUUUAUAAAAAAUCAUGAAGAUCAAUAGCAGUUGUACUGAUGGAGGGUUGGGGACUGUAGCUUCCUCCUUUUAACUUGAGAAACUAUUCUACAUAAUUGCAAUCCAUUUCCAUCUAAUGAUUUUCAUACUCUUUUUAAGUAGUCAUCAUGUUAAAUAUGUUAUACAGUGUUCUGUUCAAUGCUUUUUUUCAUCAUCAUGAAAGUAAUACUUCAAGGUAUUUCAUGUUCUAUAGUCAAUUUUUCAGGACAUGGGACUGAUGAAAAGGAUUAGUGUGGCUCAUUAUCCUGUUAAUAGGGAAAAGAAUCGCUAUAUUGAUGUCUUACCAUGUGAGGUUCUCUACCUAUGCUUGUAAUUGUGGCGAUUUUUAUUGGUGUUCACCUAGCAAGAUCCCUUUGGAUUUAAAGCAUUAGGAAUUUGAAUCUGACUCCUUCCUUGUCUCUAGUUGAUGAUACCAGGGUAAAACUGAAAUCCACAACAACCAGUUUGACUUCAAACAAUGAUUACAUCAAUGCAAGCUUCAUAAAGGUUAGUUCAAUGUUCAUGUAUUUGUUUUUUUAAUGCAAUUCCUUUCUAUUGCCUUUCUCAUGGGAUAAUUCAAAAGCUUAAGUCAUGUAUGAAACCUGCAGGCUACUGAGGGCAACAGAAGAGUUGCAACAUUUAUUUGUACUCAAGGUCCCCUAGUGAACACAUUUGAGGAUUUUUGGGAAAUGGUCUAUCAAUAUCAGUGCCCUGCAAUUGUCAUGGUCACUCAAUUCGAUAGUGUUAAGGUUUGUGCUUGCAUUAAAUGACCUCAGCAAAUUCCAUUUAAUUGAGCUGAUGAACAGAUAAAAUGUAUCAUGCUGGUAUCUUUUUAAAGUGUAUAACCUCCCGUUAAUGUAGUUAUGAACAGAGAGGUGGAUCAAUAUGAAUGAAUAUCCAAAUUCAAGUGUGGUAGUAGGCUCGUUCUGAACUUUAAAUCUAGCAUAAGCACAGAAAUUCAUUGCAACUGGAAGCGCUACAACUAACAAUGUUCCAUUACCACAACUAAUGAUAUUAUCAGACCAUGGCAUGCAUGCCAUAUGAUAUAAGCAUAAACUAUGCUCAAAAGAUAAGAAAGGUAGGAAAUUAUGUGAUGAAAAAUAUGCAAAUCUAGAAUUCAUUUGUGAGAAUUCCUUUCAGUUUAGUAUCCUCAGUCGUGCUGUUCUUUCGUCUUUUGACAACGUGUUUUCUCUGAGACUUAUGCUGUAACCAGUUCCUGGUGUACUUUUAGACAUAUCACUUCUUUCAGUGAUGGAAUUUCGCAAGAUUCUUUGUUCAAAAAUAAAAUAAAUACUAAGAAUUUGAAAAGAAGCUUACAUUCUCAGAUGUUCCAGAUUUUCUUAAAUGCAUUUAACACCAGCAAGUGGUGAAUCUAGGUGGCAUAAUGGUCCUCUUGUUAAUUUGAAUGUUUUUAGUCAAAGAGGAUGCCAUAGGUCCUUGGAAGGAGAAAUGGAAAGAAAACUACUUGUACAUUGGCUUUGCUAGUGAGUACUGAGUAGACAGUAUUUAGACCCAGUAAGUUGGUUGGUGGUACAGGCAAUUAAGUAUCAUCUAUUUUUUGGGAGGAAAAUGACUAAAACUGAGAGUUUUUUUUAAGCUUCUCUAUGCCUUUUAGGUGGGUUUCGUGUUUACCUAUCUUGAAUGUUAGUUUUUUUUAUGCACCCUUGGGUUUGUCUUUGUGAAUGUAUUUGGAUAUUUAUGGGUAAUGAUGGUGUACUUUCAACUGUAGGAAGGUCUACUGGUUUUCACUGUGCUCUGUGAAAAUAAAUAUUUCCUCUGAUAAAUGCCUGUUAUUUAAAUUGUGACAGUGUGAUAAGUAUCUCCCACUGCACAAUGGGCGAGGAGCAUAUGGAAAAUAUAAUGUUAAGAUUAUGAAAAAAAGAAAAGAUAACCAUCAAUUAUGGCUGCGCAACGUGCAGGUGCAAAACAAGGAGGUAAAGAAGCUUGAAAGACAUUCAUGUAUGCAUUGGUUCAUUGUUCCUCCUGAUUUUCUCACCAAUGACUUCUCUUAUUUAUGAAAAUUCAUACAUGGAUGUCAAUUCUGCUUCUAUAGGUUUGUCCAAUCUGUUAGCCAUCUCAACAACAGAUAAUUUCUUCAGAAACUUAAUAUACAUGUUCUCUCUUAGGAAGCAGUGAUGAUGUUAAGUUCUGUUGUAUUGGAUCUCCUAAUUGGUUAGGCAUCCUUUCUUAUUAUAUGCGAACUCACUGUUUGUAAAGAUCUCAGUUAUUGACGAAUUUGCCAUAACAUUGUUAGUGACAAUUUGAUAUGAUUAGAAUUUUGCAAAAUUAAAGAUCGCAUUUAGUUCUCAUGUAACAAAACAGGUGUGGCCAUCCAUCACCUCUUUUGAUGUUUGCACUUAUUGUAUUUCUCCAUGGUGGUCAAAUAAUUAAUCUUGUAUUGCUUAUUAGCCCUGUACAUCUAUAGGCAUUUCAUGAUGAAAGCUAUUCUGAUUGCUAAUUUCAUAAUAUAGUCAGGCAAGGUCCAUUCUGUACUCCAUAUAGAAUAUCCUGAUUGGCCCGACCAUGGAGUGCCAACCAAUACUGAUGCUGUACGACAAAUCUGGAAGCGACUACAUCACAUUCCAACAGAACAUCCUAUAGUUGUACAUUGCAGGUUUGUUUCACCUUGAUGCCAUCUCAACCUGUGCAUGCCUUUUAUUCUCUUAACACUGUUACUGUAUCUUUCUGCAGUGCAGGUAUUGGAAGAACUGGUACUUACAUCACCAUCCAUACUGCAAUUGAGAGAAUCCUCCUUGGUGACAAAAGGUCUUAUGAUAUUGUUGAAACUGUAAAGAAUUUCAGAUCCCAACGACCUGGAAUGGUCCAAACUGAGGUGGGCUCUGCUCUUUUCUCUUUACUUCUAUGACCUGUUUGUUGGUGGCUCUUGUACAGUUCAGACUGAUCAAGCUGAAAUAUAGACUGUCUCUAACCAACCCCAACUUUCUUAGGAUAAAAUACUCAAGUCCAGCAAUAGUUUGAGCUCAUAAAAAUGGGUGUUGCCACCAAGUUUCUUUCACAUUACAAAACGGUUAUUAGUAUUUUAGAAAGAGUUUAUUUUUGUUACAGUACAAGUGAAUGGUGAUGUUUUUAGAAUUUGAAGGUAAAUUUGCAUGGGUUGUGGUAAUUGCAGUUAUGAAAUUAGAUAGAAAACGCUACAGGACAAAUUGAUAAAAUUAUGUCCUUCCCUUGAUAAUGUAGUGUUUUGCUGAGCCUGCGUCAAAUGCACUGUUGAUGAUUCGUUGGUAACUUAAAUAACAUCCGUAUAUUAACUUUCGUUAAUUCAUUGGACUUCCUACAUGAUCUAAUAGCAUGUGUAUUCUGCUUUUCAGCAACAAUACAAAUUCUGCUAUCAGGUGAUUGCUGAUGAGCUGAAAUAUCUGCUAAACUCAGACCAUUGAGGUGGGUCACAUAACGACGCUUACGGCAACAUAACUGCAGAAGCAUUUAUUGUGUAUUCCUUUUACACAUUUACAUGCAUGGCAAAACUUUUGAGUCUCACUUUAUGUUCUUUCCCUGUAGGAAGAACCAAGCGCUCUGUUUUUCAUCCGUGGACCUCUGAUUACUCCAAUGCCGGACUUGUGCAUACAGCAUUUUGUUGGGUGCAUACCUUCUUGCAAAUGGGUCCAUUGCAGGAAGACCGCGAUGACACCUUCAUUAUGUCACUAUUUUUCUAUUGUCGUUAGUCGAAUGAAAAUAUUAGCUAGAGGAGGUUUACAAGAUUGGACUGCUCGGUGCCUGUAAUUCCACUGCAGUUUGAAUCAUUCUUUAAUCUCCCUCAACUCAACGAAUUGGUAUCUUGGACGAGUCCAGUACAAAUGUUGGUUGUACCUUGUUGGACUAGGUUGCGCGCGUUAACCUUAGUUACCUCGAAUUCAAGCGAAUUGAGUACGCAGUUUCAUACUUGCAUCACAAACUGUUGGACUACGCGUUGUAGUGAAUCUUGAAGGGAGAUUCAGAUUUGACAUGAUGCUGAGCAUGAGACGUGACAGCAACAUGCUUGCCACGGUUGCUGAGACGUCAGUGACUCGUGAAGACUCUUGUCAUUACAAGUCUCCUUGUUUACUCCAAUUCUGGAGCCAUCCAGCAAAGGAUCGGAGAAGCAUCCGUUCAAUUUGCUGCCUAUCAAAAUAUCAGAAGCCGCGAGUCCUGGUCAAUUCCAGGGCCACUGAAGUGAGUGACCUCAAGAAAAAGUGAGAGUCUGAGAGAGCAUGUGCAAGCGCGUGAGGAUGGGGCAAUGGCAGCUGCCGAACGUACCCUGCAAGUGAAGCAAGGAAUGGCCCUCUCCUCUCUUUACAGGAGGAACCCAAUUCCCUCGUCUCUUGUAUUAUUAUUAUUGAGAAUUUGAGAUGGAACCAGCAAUGAAAUUUUACUUCGCCAAUGACAACCGCGAAAUUCGGCUUUCGACUUUUGAUCUCGUAAACAUGCCAUUGCCAAAUCAAAUCAAUCAGUUUUCACAGGCAACGCGAGAUCCAAGGUUAGUUUUGAAUUUGCAAACAUCUCACUACUACAAAAUCGGUUCCACCGAUAACUGAAGAUCCAUCAUAGCCCGGCCACCACAUCACAAAGUACCUCCUCGCACCCACAAGAUGGUGGCACUUUUCAUCGUGUUGAUUGGAUGAGUGAGCGAGAAUGACAUGACUAGCACCAGCCCUAAGCACUAGAAAAUACGGAUGCUCUCCCAAGAGAUGGCAUCAACGUUGUAGAUCGGCAGCAGCAUGCCAACAACCGAAAGCAUCACAUAUUGUUGGCUAAUUCCACUUUAGUUGUUUUUCCAACUCCAACGGAGCACCAAGUAAUCAAGUCAGUUACAACAGCACUGUCAAGUAACCACUUCGUGAUGGAUGUAUUUGGCAAAUCAAAUUGUGUGUACCAAGCUGCAAUCUGAUCGCUUAAAAGUGGUUUUGUAUCCAAGCUCUUUCUUUUUUUCAUAAGGCAGUUUAACGCCCAAGGGAGGCUAAUCUUGUAGCUCAUAUUUUACCAAGUCAGAGUGUGAAUUCACCCGGGUUGAACAACCACCUAGCUUUACUGUUGCACUUGCACCUAUGCUGGUGCAUGUGAAUGAAUGGAUCUUUAUUAAAUUUCCACCAAAAGCAGCACAAGAAACAAAAGCUAAUUCGAAUCUGAUUCUUCUCCAUGAAUUCGUCUAUGUCCCUCUCGUAACAAAGCACAAAAUGUAAUCAAAGCGGACGCACGGUCGAUGGAUCGAGCAGAGCACUCGGAUCAUCGAUCAGUGCUUGAUGUAGAUGUUGUACUCGACGGUGGCGUCGCCGGUCUUGAGGUCGAAGGUGUGCGUGCGCGCCUGCGCGUACCCUCUCGCCAUCCUGAACACGCCGGUGCCCCCGACGACGGCCAUCUCCCUGACGGCGUUGAACACGGCGUUCCGGCCCAUGAUGGCGACGGUGCUGCCGUUGUAUUUGCCGGCCUGGAAGACGAAGUUCAUGUUCAUCAUCAGGGACACCUCGUCCUUGCCGGCGGCGAUGUAGGUGCCCUGCGCGCGGCCGAGGGGCUUGGAGGACUUGAGGUCGGGGCCCUCGGUGAGCGGGUCGUCGAUGACCACGACGGCGCCGAAGCCCGUCUUGGAAGUGUUGGUGACGGCGGCGUGCGCCACCUGCACCGCCGUCGGGCUCGGCCCGCUCACCACGUCGUGCCAGUAGAGCUUGAUGUGCGUCUGCUUCUCGCCGCCGCCCGACGACGCCGCCGAGGCGGCGGUGGUGGCCAGGAGGAGAGGCAGGAGGAGGAGGGGAACGGCGGCGGCCAUGGCGCGCGCUUGGCGUACGUUGCUGGUGGUUGUGGUCCUUGUGGACUUUGUGGUGUGGCGAUGGAGUUCACGGGCGCGUGAUUUAUUAUGCGCGUGCGCGACAGGGGCAGUGCAAGUUGUGGGGAGGUGACCAAACAAUGGGAGUUUAUGCAUGGCGUGUUGGGUGGUUUGCUUCGCUGAAAAUAUUUGGUCAGAUGCCAUCAUCGUACAGGGUCCACAAAGCAGGUACUUUCUCAUGUAUCUAGAAGGUGAUGGGUGGCAGGGAGUACUCUAGUUGAAACAGGGAAAGAAAGGGACGUGGGAGCGUCCGAUUAUAUUAGCCAAAGUUGCUAAAUUGGGCUGGUGUUUAGGGCCUGUUUGGCAAUAAGGUGUUUAACACCCGUCACAUCGGAUGUUUGGAUGCUAAUUAGGAGUAUUAAAUAUAUA